UGGCAUAUUAUGAUAUGUUUUAUAUCAAGAUAUGAGUAAAUUGGGGGGUUUUCUGAUUUAUGGUGAAUUUUCUUAUAUUUUUUAGUAGCCUACACUUUUUAACAUUAAUUUAAUUCAAACUUCUUCUUUUUAAAACAACCCUCCUGUUUAUUAAAUACAUGUAUUGAUAUUUUUACUCGCAUAUUUUAAAUUUUCAAAAUCAUGUACCGUAUCUCAAUUAUGUGGGUUAUUUUUAUUUGAAAGGGGAAAAGACUUAAAAGUAUACUGCUAGUACAUGUCAUGGAAGUUAUAUUUAUAUUAUGUAUUGGGGAUAUUUUGGGUGUAAACAUAGGAACGAGGCUCUCUGUACUCCUUGCCUUUCUGUUGAUCUCACUUCACAUACAUAUCACUGUACCACAUGUAUGUAGUCCGAAAUAUCUAACAUUUUCCUGACUUAUUUAACAAUUUUGAUAUUUAACAUGCCAGGGAAACCUGGCAAAUAAAAUAUCAAAAUCGUUAAAAAAGCCAGGAAAAUGUCAGAUAUUUCGGACUAUGUACCAUGUAUCUUGUGUUUGUACCUAUACAUACAUGUACAUUUCCUCUUUGAACUAAAACAAUGCUUAUUUUCCAUUAUGUAAAAAUUAAUACAUGUAUUCAAAAGCAUGUUUAAUUCUUAAGAAUUGUUUUGUUGUUAAAAUAUUUUUUCUGAAGUUACAAUUUCCUCACACUGAUCAUUUCAAGUAUGCUAUAUAUAUGAUUAUUAAUUUCUCCGACGUUUUGCCAGUUUUCAUUUAUAUUAUGUCUAUUUAUUGACUGGGUCUUAUUUGAAUAAAUAAAAUCUAAAUAACACG
rnacentral:sRNA from 1 species